GACGAACGCUGGCGGCGUGCCUAAUACAUGCAAGUCGUGCGCAGGAAGCUGACGGAACUCUUCGGAGGGAAGGCAGUGGAAUGAGCGGCGGACGGGUGAGUAACACGUAAGGAACCUGCCUCAAGGAUUGGGAUAACUCCGAGAAAUCGGAGCUAAUACCGGAUAGUUCAACGGACCGCAUGGUACGCUGAUGAAAGGCGCUCCGGCGUCACCCUGAGAUGGCCUUGCGGUGCAUUAGCUAGUUGGUGGGGUAACGGCCCACCAAGGCGACGAUGCAUAGCCGACCUGAGAGGGUGAUCGGCCACACUGGGACUGAGACACGGCCCAGACUCCUACGGGAGGCAGCAGUAGGGAAUCUUCCACAAUGGACGAAAGUCUGAUGGAGCAACGCCGCGUGAGUGAUGAAGGUUUUCGGAUCGUAAAACUCUGUUGUAAGGGAAGAACACGUACGAGAGGAAAUGCUCGUACCUUGACGGUACCUUACGAGAAAGCCACGGCUAACUACGUGCCAGCCGCCGCCGUAACAC
rnacentral:rRNA from 1 species